ACUUCUUACACGUUUAAGAAAAUUGUUCAAACAGUAACAAGCACGUCGAUUAACAACGAGACACGCUUAAAGUUCCAAACUUACUUUUCAGAUUUAUGCAAUGCCGGUUUUUGGGUUAUGCUUUUAAAUUAUGCUUCUCUCUCCCCCUCUGUUUGCCACUCGGGUGUGCGUGAAGCUAAAUCAGGAAAAUGUGUUAUCACCCUGUAGUUCCCUCCCCGACGCGUCUCUCUUGGGGAAAUGCGUCUUCAGUGAACUCGAGAAAGAACAAGAGUGACACCCCUUCGUAUUCUCUCCCUCCUUUCCCUGUGCCGUCGCAAUAGCAAAAGCCUUAAUUGGUAAAAUAUCAAAGGGGGGUAUUUUUUCUCCUGGUGAAAGCGCGUUUUAGCAGAAGGGGCUGACGUUAUACCGGUGACCGCGCCUUCGGAUUUUAAAGUUUCCUAAGUUCAAGUCUCAAUGGGGGAGAAGAGACCUGCAGUGAAAAAGCAGCAAUCACAUCGCGAGGCUCCAUUCUCCCCUGCUGCUGGAGUGAGCACAGAGGAGCCCUGCAAAUACAGGACAUGCGUGCGUGCAUGCGUGUGUGUUUGUGUGCGUGCCUAUGUGUUUGUGUGCGUGCGUAUGUUUUUGUGUGCGUGCGUGUGUGUUUGUGUGCAUGCGUGUGUAUGUGUGUGCAUUCGUGUGUGUAUGUGCGUGUGUAUAGGUAUGCGCAUGUGUGUGUGUGUGUGUGUGUGUGUAUGCAUGCGUAUGUGUGGGUGUGUGUGUAUGUGUGCAUUUGUGUGUGUGUGUAUGUGUGCAUGCAUGUGCGUGUGUGCAUGCAUGUGUGUGUGUGUGUGCAUGUGUGUGUGUGUGUAUGUGUGGGUGCAUAUGAGUGUGUGUGUAUGCAUGCCUAUGUGUGCGUGUAUGCGUGUGCAUGCGUGUGUGUGCAUGCGUGUGUGUGUAUGCGUGUGUGUGUAUGUAUGUAUAUAUGUGUGUGUGUGUGUGCAUAUAUGUGUGUGUGUUGGGAGGGGAGUGGGGAAUGUAGGAUGUUUUGGUUCAGUUUAUCAUUGCUGGAGUUGGGGACAGGGAUGAAGUAUUAGUCCAAAUUAGAUUAAAGAAGCGACUAAAUGAAGUUGAUGUGGGGAAGCUAAAUAUGCAUUACAGAUCACUGAAUACUCAGGGGCUUCAAUUCCACAUUUCUCACAUUUGCUCUUAACUUCGUAUGAGUGCUGAGGGCACCUGUGUGUAGGACGGCCCUGAACUGCUGGGAGGCGGGGCUUGAUCUGUAUGUAGGAGGAGCCUGGAUUUAGUUUUUCUAAUGAUGGUUAUGGUGUUACUGCUGGACAAGGGUAGUUUAAUUUGACAAAACUUAAAAGUUGUUUCACAUUGCUGUGCAUUUAUUGGCCUAAUAGCUAUAAAUAUUGUCAUUUGUUUACUGAAAACAAAGAGAAGCUAGCUGUGAGUGACUCCCUCUACCUUUCAGAAGAUGCUUAAGAUGGCUCCUAAAGAGCAGUGUUGCUCAUGUAGGACCUGUUCCUGGAACAUGAGGAAGCAGUUCAUCCCGUCAUCCCGCUGGAAAGAGAGAAGAAGCUGAGGAUGGAGUGAGCGCCUGUCAGCAGGAGAGGAGAGAGAGGUACCUCUCCACAGUGGACACAGGCAGCAGAUGCACAUGGCCAUCCCUCUUCAUCAGGUCAGUGAGCUAGCCCCCGCUUUGCGGACAGCCUGCAUGACCACCCGCACCUGGCAGUGGGGUGAAUGACUGAAGCACAUGACCUGGUCCCUGAACAUGCCUCUCCCUCAGAUCCUACAAGGCCUAUGCCUAAGCUCCCGGUAUAAGUCAAAAGUGGAACUUUUUGAGGACAGGCGCGAUGACAUUGGGAAACCGGGCGUUCCCCCUGACUGCACUGUGUGACUCUUCACAUGUUCGGCCAGACACACCCUCUCGCGAACAGGAAGUCCCCCACGCUCAGAAACAUGCUCCGUCUGGCACCGGCUCGUAUAACGUCUGAGAACCAGAGAGACCAGAGCCUCUACGCAGCAGAGGAAAGUUGGUGAUACAGUGAGAAGGGUUCGGCCUGGCCGAAAGCCACAUGAUCCCACGUGACCCCCCCAUCCUUCGCUGUGAAAGCCCUUCCAAUGCAGGGCCUGGAAGGACAGCAUGCAGCCAGAGAUCAACACAGAAUGGAUCCUGGAGCCAAAUACAAGGCCUCCCACAUAAAUGUGUCUGUAAACUACAAUCAAAAUUGCGGUGAUGAGGUUUCAGUUGCUUUGUAGAUAGAGGUAUACGCCAUAUAGAAAAGAGGUCAGGACCCCAUACUACAUAUAAACACACAAAUAGUGACAGGGAGCACAUACACUCAGUGAGCGCUUUAUUGGCUAUUUAUGAGAUUCAUUUUUUAGACUUUUAAUAUUUUUUUUCUUUGUUUUGACAUAGAGUUUAGGCUAAUUAUUUAUUGAAAUAAGACAUAGUGUACACGUGCGUGGGUCUUGUGGAAACUUCAUAGGGGCCAAAUUGACUACAGAACCCUGUACAAACCUUGUGAAUACAGCAUUCAAGUGUACCAAAAAUAAAUAUUUCAUUUAUAUGUACACUCAGUGAACACUUUAUUAGGUAUUACUUAUUUUUUUAGACUUCUGCUGUAUUUAUUAGGUAUUACUUUUUU